GAAGUUAAUAAAUAUUAUCUGAGGUUUGAAAAUAAAGAAAUAAAGAAGUAAAUAUUUGAUUAAAUCAAGAAGCCACUGGAAAAAGUGUUAUACAAGGAUACUCCAGGUAGAGGUACACAUGCAAAUAGGAAAUUUAAAAAUCUGUGGGAUAGAGGAUGUUCAAAAUGAUUCCAGGGAGAAUGAGAGCAACGAAUUGUUUCCUUUCGCAUCAGCUUCUUCUCCUUGGUUCAGAACUUAUUUUUUUGUGUUUAAGAACCAGUAUCCAAAAGGCUUAUUUCUGGAGCUCUCAUUGCCAAGGUCAGAAAUGGUGUAGGCAAAGCUCCUGUCUUCCACCAUUUCUACCACACUCACUCCCCCACCCCAGCCCAGAGAACUCUGUGUGAGCAGUCGGUCUUGCCGAACAGCAUCUAGGGCCCUUCCUGAGACGUUGUUCACAUUGGCCACGGGCCCUCCAUAAUCAGUAUUCUACACAGAUUGUAUCUCUUUAGAGCACAUAGCACAUGGCUUGAAGGAGGUGACUUCUGGACUGACUCUCAGCCUUGUAGUUGCUGAGCUAUUGUGGUUGGAAUGCUGUGUCCCUCCCUAAUUCGUGUCUUGAUAUCUAAACCCCAAUGCAGUAAUUUUAAGACCUUUGGAAGUGAUUAGGUUGUGAGGCCAGAGUCCUCAUGAAUGGGGUCAGUGCUUCCAUAAAUGAGGCUUGAAGGAAUUGGUUUAGCCCUCCUGCCAGGUGAAGAUGCAGAAGAAAGUCGGUGUGUGUGAGGAACAGGCUUUACCAGACACCAGCUCUGCUAGAGCUUUGAUCCGGGCUUCCAGCAUCCAGAACUAGGAGCAGUACAUUCUGUGCUUAUAACUUUCCAAUUUUUUUCAUAUCAGCCUGAAUGGACUAAGACACCCAACAAAUUUGAAAGAAGGCCAAGAUGAAUCAGAACACUAGAUACUCUAAAAGAGACCAAAUUAUCUUUUAAACUAAUAUUACGAAAGAAAUAUUAUGAAAUAUCACUUGACUUACGCUUUUUGGAGGAUGGAGUAGACUUACGUCCCUCUAUUCCUCCCAAUAUCUACAAGUGAAAAUACGGCACAUUUUGUGUCAAACAAACAUAAGAAAAUCCUGGAAGGUGGAGAGGAGGUAGAUCAACUAGGGAUCCCAGGGCCUAAAGCAUAACAUGGUUGAAAGUUCCCUGGGUUUUAAUUCGCCUCACAUAGACAGAAGUUGGGGCCAAACAAGAAGGUAACCUAGAAACAUCAGUGGGCUCAGAUUAAACAAUCUUCAAUGAAAGUCUUUUCUUCCUUUAGCUGUAGGACCAGGAAAGAGGCAGCCUAGCAAGAUAGAACACUUUUAGAUAAUUGCUGUACUCCAUCCAAAAGCCACAGCAAAAAACUGAGCAGGGGCUGAAUGGACAGCCCAGACUUUCAGACAUGCUAGGAUGCAACGAGGCACCCCAACAUGUCUGCCCUGUAGGGUCAUGGGAGACCACAUAAGUGAGGCCCUGGGCUUCCACUCAUGUGGUGAUGAUGGUAUCCUUCCCUGCUGGAAGGGGCUUGAGAGCCUGGUGAAGAGUCAGGACUGUCACCACUGGAAACAAGUAAUGAGAACACCACAUUGUGAUGUCAGUGGAGACCACAUGGGGAACUAGAAUGCUUAGACUAUGGGUCCUGCCCAGGAGUGACAGGAGCUCCCCUGUCGGCUCCCAGCAGGUGCUGUUAGAGAACCUGGGCUUCUGCCUUCACUCGGCCGCAAGGCGUGAUGCUUCUUUUCCUCCCACAGUCAGAGAAACCUAUCUGAAGCAGAAGAUUUAAGCCCGUGGCUGACUGUGGACACCGAGACCACAGAUAAGGGGGACUGCUGCGGUUAUGAGCAAGAAAGGAAAAUGAGAGACAGCACCGAAGAAGCUUCAAGUUCAAGGCAUGACAAGAGAGGAGCUUGAAGAAUGCGUCGGUGAGCCUGGGAAGAUGCAUGGCCACAGGUCACUGCAGCUGAGGAGCAGAGUGAUGAUGACAACAAGGAGAGUGACAGCACUCACACCUGAAAGUGCGUCCAUCUGUGUGUUGGAUACCAGUCAUACAACAUCCUGUGUGUCAUCUCUUAAUUCCCCAGUCUACCUAUCAGUUCUUUGCAGACCACCUUUGCAAUGGCCACUACAACUCACAUCACUUCAGGGACUGACGGGUGCUCCACGGUAGACACUGAGACACCUAGAAACUUCCAGAAGCAAGAAAGGGUGUGCCCGUGAGGGUGGUGCCACUGCUUUGGAGUGGAUUGCAUCUCCUGGCAUCAGAAGGAAAAGGAUACACACUGAUGGAUGGACACGGGCUCAUCUCACCUGUUCCUCACGAGGAUUCUGGAAGCUGGGGGCUUCUGUCCUCAUUUGCAACUGAGUUUGGGGAAAUCUGACAUACACAUGUCCUGGAGUCAGACAGCCAGUAAUAGCCAGAAAAAGAAGAAAUUUAAAAAAAUGCAAUGCUUUCCGAGUCGGCUUACUGUGGCUGAGUAACUUCAGGGGAUGCAGGGAACCAAGUCAGCAUCACACGGCCUCGCAGAGCCACUGAGGCUGCAGGACCUGGAGACACCGCUGGCCUUUCCUUGCCCCUAGUGACCUGCGCUCUACACUGCCAUCCACCUUGCCUUUUCUGCUCCUCGGAGACUGCCUCACAGUGCAGAGCAACCUGUCCUCCCCCGGCCAGCAGCCCGGCACUCCCGACGCUGCCCGUAACCGGCCAGCUCCAUCUUACGAUUUCCACUCCAGGCUGAGUUGUCAUUCGGCACCACACCGCGAGCAGCCACAUUUUACUUGAUCCUCUUCCAAGAUUUCCAAACAUGUGCCUGGCACCCAGCGAGCUUCAGAGGAAGCAGAAUAGUGACAGAGAAGGACUGCGGCAGGGUUGGUGUCGUGCGCAUGUGUUAGCCUUCACUGCCGUGCAAGGCCGUGGCCUCAUGGGCACUCUCCUAGGGGCAGCCAGUGGAGAAGAAACAUGGGGAAGCCUGCAGCGCAUACCAGCUCCAGUCUGGUAAGUAGCUGCGUCCACCAAGUUUCCUGGGAAGACAGUAGUGAAGGAGAAUCCUUCCAGGAGGAAGAACUUUGAAAGGUAAUCUGCUUCUCUUCUUCUACAAAGUGAGGGGGAGUUUCUGGAAAGCAGCUAAUGGAUGGGCAUUAGAUUUGAAAAAAAAAAAAAAACAACAACUAGGAAACACUGUGAUGGGAUCUCUCUUGAAGCAUAUGGAUGAAGCUUUGGGAUGUACACAAAGUGUGAGAUAUUGGAUUCCUGGUUGUAUUAGUCAAGGUCCUAUAGAUACAGGGUUUGUGUAAACAGACAUGCAGUGGGGUUGUUGGGGGAAUUGGUUCAUGCAACUUUGGCAGCUGAGAAGUCUCGUGACAGGCUGGUGGCAGGCUGGUGACCCUGGGAUGCCUGUAGCUGACUCAGUCCCAGUCCAAUGACCAGGAAGCUGAGGGUGGAACUCUUGGUUUGAGGUUGAAAACGUGAGUGCUAGGAAACUGGGCUGGUGGAGUUGAGUCUUGGAGACCAGAGGUCAGCAGCUGACAUCCUGGGCAGGAGUGAAGACUGCCCCAGCUCUCAGAGUGAGAUGCUAAUUUGCCUUCUGUAUUGAUUCCCUCCAGACCCACAGCCAAUCCAGCUUUGGUCUUAUCUCCUAGUACACUCAACCUCACAUGCUAACCUUGUUUGGAAACAUUCUUGCAAACACACCCAAAAUAAUGCUUUUCCAGGUCUCUAGGUAUAUCCUAAUCCAGUCAAGCUUAUAGCUAAAGUUAACCAUCACACUGGCCACUUCAUCCCAAGGUCAGGUGCCAAGAUGACCAAUUCUCUGGAUAUUGGUGACUCUCCUUUACCCAUGUGCCCUGUGCAGACUCAAGGGCUCAUGGACAAAGUGGGCAUUGCAGCAGGGAUAGAAUCUGCCUGUAGGCUUAAAAAUAUACAGAUUUUGUUUUCAAUUACUGCUUAGUGAACAAGAGUUAGGGCCAAUUCUGAGCUAUCUGGUGGGUGCAAAUUGGCUUUCUAGUGGCAGGUAGAUAACACUAAAGCCUUUCAGUCUUGUUGGGGACAGUUUUUGGUGCUCAAAGGAGUAGGUAAAAAUUCUAGAUGUCAUUUACUUUCUUUGCCCAAAAUGCUUCUCUCAGCACCACCACGUGUGAACUUACAGAAUGUUUUAUAAAGUAACAUGGUAUCUCCAAUCAUUGGUCCUGAGCAAAGAACACAUUUUAUGGAAAAACAGGUGAGGCAAUGAGUCUAUGCUCAUGAAAUACACUGGUGUCACCAGGUGCCCCGUCUUCUAGGAUCUUGGUUAAAGAAGCAGCAAAUAAACAAGUAAUGAGUUUGGGCAAUGUCCUGUGCAUGCCACAGCUUCCCAUAUAUGGGAAGGGUCAGCCUUUUUCCUUCAAAAAGAACAGAAAAAUCCUUCCUGUAGGAGAGAGAGCAGACCUAGCUGUCUAGGCAGCCCUUUUGCCAAUCAAGAAUGCUGAAGCUUCGAGAUGCCCCUAGGGAAUGCAUGGUGAUCACUGGUAGGGGCAGGGCGGGGGCAGGCUGGGAGAAGGGAGCCUUCAAGAAUUGGAAGAAGUAGGGGCAGCAGCCUGGCUGGGGCGAAGCCCACCAUUCCCAUCCAGGAGCUUUGCACCUGUGGUGGGUUAGGGGGUGUUCCAGGAGGACCCAGGCUGUGAAUAGAUACAUUGGGAUUCAGGAACAAGAGGAGACAUCCAGGGGGCCAGCUUAACCUAACAGGUUAAGCCUCUGCCUGGGAUACUGCUGUCCCGUUUGGGCACCAGUUCAUGUCCCUGCUGUUCCCCUAUGAUCCAGCUCCCUGCUAAUGACCAGGGAAGGUAGCAGAGGAGGCCCAAGUGCUUGGGGCAUCUGCCACUCCCAUGGGAGACCCAGAUGAGGCUCCUGGCUCUUAGCUUUGACUUGGCCAGCCCUGACCAUUACAACCAUUUGAGGAGGGAAACAGUAGAAGGAAGACCUGUGUGUGUGUGUGUGUGUGUGUGUGCCUCCUUCUCUGUAGCUUUGACUUUGACUUGUAAAUAAAUAAAAUCUUUAUUUAAAAAAAAAUGAAUGAACAUGUCCAGGAAUUGGGCAUACAAGUCGCUUCUCUCUUCACUCUGCCUAAUAACCCAGUGUGGGAAUUUGUUUCCCAUUCCUGUAAAUCAAGCCCGGUCGGGUUGGAGGUCCUGUGCCCAGGAAGGAAAGCUUGCACUCAGGAAUAUUGACAUCCUUCCACCCAAAUGGAAAGUGAGGCCUCUCUGGCCACUUGGAUCUUCUCUUGCCGCUGAAACACCUCUCCCAGAGUGUGCUUGGGUUCGGAGUGGGUGAGUCUCUUUUCUGGGGGAAUGAAGUUUUGCUGCCGCACAAAUGGUGAGGAGGCAAGGAACUCUGUGUUUGCAACUCAAAGAGUUCAGGGGUCGCCUCUCAGAGCUCCCUUGAUCCAGGUGGGCAGUGGAAACCUGAGAAGACAGUGAGGACCCAGUUCCUGCAGGCGUGGGUUCUUUGUCCAGAUCAAGAAGAUGCUAACAGGAGGUGAGAGAACAUGGAAUACAGAGCAGAAGAGGGCAGUACAACUUUGUGCAUGCGGCCAGCUCUUACUUCCUGUCAUUUGUUUCUGCCAUCCUCUCCUUUUGAAAUUGUACGAAGUACACCACAGCAGUAGGCUGACCUUGAGGUUUCAGACAGCUGUGACCUAACCGCCAUCGCCCCAUGAUGCUAGGUAAAUGACUGAAACCUCUGUGUUGAAGUUGAAAGCUUUUCUGGAGAAAAAACAUACUCUAUGUUGGGCAAAAAGAUGAGCUAACGGGUGUGUCAGGUUAUUUCCUGUUUGUCUCAGAAAAUUCCCUUCCUGCUUUUCUCCAUCCUGCUCUCUGCCCAGAAGGCUCAUCAAUAAGGAAAUCAUCAGUGGUCCCCUACCUAGAAGUGCUUUGAUGGAAUAUAGGGAACCCAGUUAGACUUGGAAUUCCAGGUAAAAGAGAAAUGCAGUUUUCAUAUAAAUGUUGCAAGUGUUUCACGAGACGUACCCAUACCGGAAACGCAGCCGUUCUUUAUCUGAACUUCGCAGUUAUUCACGUGUUCUGCAUUUGGAACUCAGUACAUCUAGAAACUCUGCUCUCACCCUAUCUGGUUUCUAUCCAGGUUCCACUACUGGAGAGUGAAAGUGAGACUCCGAAAGAUUGAUGGGAAAUUUUCGUGUCUUUCCCAAAAUCUUGCCAUCAGAGCAUGCUUGAACCCCAUUUCCGAAGUGGCUCACUUUCAGGAGCAAUUAUUCUAGCCAACAUUUUCUUGUGUGCGUAUCAUAAGCUAGACAUUGUUCUUAGCAUGUUGCAUAUAUUCCGCCUGUAUCCCAUACCAGGGUGCCUGGGUUUGAGUCCUGGCUCCACUUCUGAUUCCAGCUUCUUGCUAAUGUGCAGGUCAUUCCAGCUUCCUGCUGAGGAGACAGCAGACGAUGGCUCAAGUACUUGGGUCCCUGCUAUCCUUGUGGCAGACCUAGAUAGAGUCCUUGUCCCCUGGCUUCAGCCUAGCCCAGUCCUGGCUGUCACAAGCAUUUGGGAAAUGGAUCACUGGAUGGAAGAUUUCUGUCUGUCUCAUUCAUUGUCUUUCAAAUAAAGCGAAAACCAAUAAGUUAAACAUUUUAAGGAAAGGAAGUUAAAGUGGAGAUAGCAAUAGCUUUCUUUUCAUAUUAUAUGUUAAUGCAGAAGGUUCCAUUAAUACAAGAAUAGUUUUUGAAAAAUGAUUAAGAAGUAAGAUUUAUGAGAUUAUGUAAAAUUUAUAUAUAUUUAAUGAAUGAAACAAAAAAAACAGCAACAAAAGCCACUACAUGCCUGAUAUAUACAUUAGAUAUUUAGUUAUAAUUGCUGGAUCAGUAAAAGGAGGGACAAAUUUGAGAUUUUCCUUUUAGCCACGAAGAUUUAUUUAAGUGAGAAACCCUACAGCGUCAGGAGGGGAUUGCAAGAGAGGCAGACCCUCACACUUGAGAUUUUAAUGUUAAGAGGUGUCUUGUUUCUGCGGAGACAUGUUACCAAGUAGAUGUUGAAUGUCCUUAACAUACGAGCAGGUGUAUUUCCGGUACUCCGAUGCUUGAAAUUUGCAAAAGUUUGAAUGAGUCAGUUCAUUCUCUCAAGUUUUCAUUUCCUCACUUAAAAAAAUAAGUCUUUUGAGGGGAUGGGAGAGGGAGAGGAGGAGGGGGAGAAAGAGAGAGAGAGAGAGAGAGAGAGAGAGAGAGAGAGAGGAUGAGUGAGUGAGCCAGAAAUCAGGAACUCAAUCCAGGCUUCCCACAUGGAUGGCAAGAAUCUCACCGUUGGACCGUCACUGCUGCUGGUCUGGGUCUACAGCGGCAGGAGGCUGGAGUCAGAGCAAGUGGCCAUCCUAUGACCCAGAUAUUCGACAUGGUACGAGGCCAUCUUAACAGAUAGGCUACACGCCUGUUCCUAUGUCCUCAUCCUUACAAUUUAAGUCACCCCAUGAGGAUGUCAAAAUGAUUAAGUAAUAAAAGUUCUUUUUAUAUCGUGACCAGUUUUACAUGUGCUCUUUGUAAGGGAAGUGUGACCUAGCAGUGGAGUCGUGACUCUGAAGGAAGACAUUUGAAUGGGGUCAACACUGACAGCUUACCAGUUCCUGAGGGGGCUCAGGCACUCCACACAGAUGGCUGGACCCAUCUCCACAGCCAGGCAAGCAGUGGUGAAGCUGGGUGUUAGGCUCAGGCUCUCUGAAAAUGUCCAGAGAUCUUAAGCAAUGCCACCUAAUUUGAGGACUGCCUUGAGGGUCUUGAUACUCUGACAUGGGUGCUCUUUCACCCACUUUGACUCUGCAGCUGACUUGUCUCCCCAAAUACCUUAAAAGGGAACUGGGACCUCACAAAGAUACUGGAAUCAGUAGCAAGCUUACAUGAGUGUACUUUGGUAGGCAGGUGUUUUAAACCAUAAUGCAAUAGGAAAAAACGGGCAGAAGAAUUUGAUAGCUCUGUGCAGAAAACCUGAUUGCAAAUUACAGGGCACCUAAAACUACGCUAGUCCCACCUGCACCUCCUGUCCUAAUUCCUGGCUCAAGUCUGAGAUCACUCUAGUGAGCACCACUGUGCAAAAAUGGAGCACAUCAAAUGCAGCAGUGUUCCAAAUUAGUCUUGAAGCUUGGAGCUGAUAAUGUAAAUUGCCUUGGUAGGACCACCUAAAGGGAGCUUUCUUUGGAAAGCCUAUUUUUAGCGCAGAGCCUGAGAGCAGCAAAGACCCAGCAGAAAGACUGCUUCUGCUUGACAAAUGAUGGAACGCACACACCCUGGAGGGGGCUUUCUUUUCCGGAGCUCCAGCUGCACGCCCAUAAAGGGGCAGGUGGAGGCCAAGCGGUAAGGUGGACACCAGGAAAAGGCUGCACACUUUGGUCUCACACAGGCUUGAGGUUCCAAUUUUUCUUAAUUCAGAAGCAGCGAUUUUCUCUCUUUUGUGGCAUUGGGAAGGUGUGGGCAGCUUCUCGGGUGAAGUUCGUUCUGACACAGCAGACUUCCAGAGGCAUUUAUCUGCACAGCGGCUGUCCCUGUCUGAGCCUUAGGGAGUGGAUCCCUUAUCAGCAGGUGGGAGACCAUUGCUUUCCUCUUGGAACAGUUGUGUUUCGGCAGCCCCUUGACCCCUCACGUUAGCACCCUUCUUCCUGCCCUCUCUUCUUCUAGAAGGAAAGGUGGGAGGGAAAACGAGAAGGAGGAAGGGUCAUCAAGAAAGAGCGGUGAAGUGAAGAUUACAGGCCACUCCUGCCUGGGCUACUAAAACCAACUUCCAGAGGUUUCCUUUCUCUCUUGACCUGCCCAUUCUUCUCAAGACUGCCAAAGGGCCAUUUCCAAGACAAAUGGACUGUGAAUCAUUAGCGAGUCUAGGAGGUCCUCAGGGGAAGCACUCGUCUUUCUGUCUUUGGCUCUAGAACCAUUCCUGGCACAUAGUAGAUGCUGAACAAAUGUUUGCUUAGUUGGGAUAGAACUGAAGCCUGUCAUUCAUCAAUGUGCCUGAGAAAUCUUCCUCCUAAGCCCCAGUGAAGGUCUGUGGGUGAGUCCUUGGACUCUCUCCCCAGGUUUUCACAGGCUACAUGACCUCAUGGUUAGACCAUAAAACACUUUGAUCUACAAGUGUUUCCCUGGAAAGGAUUUAAACUGCCCAACAAGGCCUAAGACCAGUGGGAAGAAGCAAGUAGGCAACAGCUGGGUUGUGUGCAAUAGCUUUGCAUGUACCUGUGGGAGAUGCUCUACUAAACAGCCCAUUUUCCAGAGAUGGGCCAUAAAGGUUGUUCUUUGGAAUGGCUGACAUUAAACUUUUUAUGACCAAUGAAACAGCAGUUUGCAUGGUUCAGUGUAACAUUUACUAAAAAACCUCCUUGCCAGAGGAUAUAAUGGGGAAUAGUCACACUAUUAAUAGUCCCUGUCUUCAUAGACUUUGCAAGUUUUGUAUAUAUACGUGCACUGAACUUUGUGAUCAAGUCAGGAGCUGUAGAAAAAUACAAAGGAAAGGGAAGAGAAGGGAGCUUGUGACAGAUUCUGCUGCUUUUUUUGGGCAAAAUCUAUAUUCUCCUGUUCUUCCUGGGAAUGCAGUUAACUGCAUUUCCCAGUCUUCCUUGCCAUCCGGCAUGGCCAUAUACUGACUUGUAGCCGAUGGCACAUGAGAUAUGAUGUGUGCCGGCUCCAGGUCUGGCCCGUGACUCUCCCAGCAGCUCCCCUCCACACUCUUUUCCUGGUUCAGCUGACUGGGGUGCAGCUAAUCACGAUGGUCCUGAGCACUGCGUGCUGAAGACGUUGGAGGUCACAUGGCCUGAGUCCUGAAAUGAUGCCAUCUCAGACUGCCACCUGAGGGAGAUACAAACCCUGUUGCAUUUGAGCCAUUUUUGUGUUGAACUCCACUUGUCACAGAAGCCAACUCUACCCUAUAUGGGGGACUGUGGGGAAUGUUUUGUUAAGAGGGUCAGAAGAGGCUGUGGGUGGUGAGAUUUGCACUGAGACCUAAAACAUGACUUACAGCAAUUUUUAACACUCUCAGCAGUAGCUGAAGAGAAAGGUUUGCAGGGAGGAGGGCCAUAUCUAAGAAGAUGCUAAGCCCCAUCCGAGGGACCAAAGGGAGGCUAGCAAGGUUGGGAAGCAGGUUAUUUGAUAGACGCUUGGAGAAAGCUGAGGCCAGGUCUGGAUCUUUUUCCUGGGGGAAAUAGGGGAAUCUUUAAAGCCAUUUUAGCAGAAGAAUGACCAGAUUACAUAGAACUAUUUGCAAGCAUUUUGAGGGAACCUGCAUGUUAUAUUUCCCCUGAAGUGCCUACGGUCUUAACACUUACCUUUGUACACAUUUCUCCAACCCCGAGAAUGACUGUGUUUGUGAAUAUUUAGCAGAGUUAAAUUCCUUUUGCUCUCUGUAUUAGCUUUUCAUUACUAUAACUAAAAUACCAAACAGAAGCUAAUUUACAGAUGAAAAGGUUAAUUUCACUCAUGGUUCUGGAGAGUCACUGUCCAAAGCUGAGUGGCCCCAUGGGUCUGGCAUCUGCUGAGGGUGGAAUGCAUGCAAAGGAAGGGUGCAUGGAAAUUGAGGCAGCAGAGAGAGUGCGCAUGCUUGUCCUUUGCUGUCCUUGUGGUCUCUCCUUAUAAAGCCACCAUGAUCUGAUCACAUUGGCUGUCCCCUAACGAUUUAGUCCAAUUUGAUGAUCAUUUAAGGCCCCACCAAAACUGUAUUACAUUCCAUUUCUACCCACCAAUAUAGGACUCUGGAGAUCAAGCACUUUAACCCUGGCCUUUGGGGCAUGACCCCGCUAUUAGCCAAACCAUUACAUCCUGCUCUUUCUGUACCUUCUCUCUCCUGCCUUGUAACCUGGGCUUUGUGAGGCUUCAGAGAAGGGGAGUAAGGUGUAUACACUCUUCCAGUGGGAGUUACUUGUGUACAUGCACAGAAGAACAAAUCCAAGAAGGCAGAGAUAAGAAGUUUGCCCUUAGGGUCUCAAUGUCCGCAUUUUUCUCAUCCUUGGCCUUCUUUCAAGAUUCCUCACUUUUUUUUUUUUUUUUUUUUUUUUUUUGGACAGGCAGAGUGGACAGUGAGAGAGAGAGACAGAGAGAAAGGUCUUCCUUUUGCCGUUGGUUCACCUUCCAAUGGCCGCUGCGGCCAGCGCGCUGUGGCCGGCGCAUCGCUCUGAUCCGAAGCCAGGAGCCGGGUGCUUCCUCCUGGUCUCCCAUGCGGGUGCAGGGCCCAUGGACUUGGGCCAUCCUCCACUGCACUCCCGGGCCACAGCAGAGAGCUGGCCUGGAAGAGGGGCAACUGGGACAGAAUCCGGCACCCCGACUGGGACUAGAACCCGGUAUGCCAGUGCCACAAGGCGGAGGAUUAGCCUAGUGAGCCACGGCACUGGCCGAUUCCUCACUUUUAAUACCUAGUAUGAGGAGAGAGUAUACAUACAUUAAUGUUUUCAUUCAUUAGUAUGUCAAAACUCAGUGAGCACCUACCAGGAUCCUAGAACUGUUUUAGAGUCUGGAAGUGAUGUAACAAUGAAUAUGGGAGGUAAAGUCCAUGCCUUGUGAUUCGACUGUGAUAAUGGUGAUGAUGAUAAUAAAUCACACUAUCAUGCCAAUUGUUAUAAAUAUUGUGGACAAAAUUAAAACAGAAAACAACCCAAGAGAGAUACUGUUCAGAUAGCUUUGCCAAGAAGUUCUUUCCUUUGAAAUAACCUUUGACUCAAGACCUGAAUGAAAUAGGACACUAAGCCAAGAUGAUGUCUGAGGGAGGAGCCUUCCUGAAAGAGGGCGAGGUGAAGGGCAGUGCUCUGGGAUGAGGCCAUAAAUGAGGAAUGUGGGUGUGGUCAGGGGAGGAGGCAAAGAAAGCCCUGCCCAAACCACCCUGGUUCCAGAGUGACUGGAGGCUCCAGAAUCAGAGGGGAGGGGUGGGUAGAGUUUGCUGAAACAAUCCAGCCAUUCACUGAAGAAACAAAACGAAAAUGAAAAUAAGCCCUGGAAGGAGGGUGCUAGUGCCCGGCAUUGUGCUAAUAUGUUGACUACAGUGUACAAUUUCCAACAACAAUAAUAGGGAAUUUAAAAAUACAGCAAAAACUUGAUCUAGUAUGAAGAAGAUGAGGUCUGUCAGACAGAUCAGGAGUCAGCAUAGCAGGAAAAGACUCCAAAGUGCCCAUUAGGAACAAGUUAAUAACUGAAGAAAAUCACGAUUAAAGAGUAAAAAAAAGAUGCAAUGGUAAUAUCACACCAAAUAUAAAAUGUCAAUGAAAGAAAUAGAAAUUAUAUUAAGGUAAAAAUAGAAACUAUUGAGUUGGAAAAAUACAGUAAGUAAAAUAACACUUUGUUGAAGGGGCUUAACAAUAGAUUAGAACUUGAAGCAGAAAGAAUUAGCAAACUUGAAGAAAAAGCAAUAGAAGUUAUGUAAUCUGAAUAAGGCAGAGAAAAAAUGAUGAAAAAUGAAUAAAGCACCAAAGAAAUGUGGGGCAGUAUUAAGUGUGCCUACAUAUAUGUGAUGGGAGAGAGAUAAAAACAGAAAAAAUGUUGAAGGAAUAAUGGAUGAAAACUUUCCAAAAUUACUACAUAAUGCUAAGCCACAUAUCUAGAAAGUUCAACAAACUAAGUAGGUUAACCACAGAGAGAUAGCCACAGACACAUCCUCGUAAAAAUACUAAAAUCCAAAGAUUUGGAGAACAUUUAGUAAGCAACAAGAGGAAAAUGACUCAACAUUUCCAAAAGAACUUGCCAAAAUUAACAGAUGAGUUCUCAGAAGAAAUCAUGAAGGCCACAAAGCACUGAGGUAGCAUAUUCAGCAUGCCAGAGGGAGAAACUGUCAGUCGGAUAUCCUAUUUUCAUCUUCCAAAAUUGAAGGUGAAAUAAGAAUAUUUCCAGAUAAACACAAACUGAGAGAAUUUGCUGACGAGAAAUACUAGUGAAAGUUUUCCUGAAUAAAACCAAAUGACUUCAGACAUUAAUCCAAAUCCACAUGAAAAAUAAAGGGCCAGCAGAGGUAACUAAGGAGUUAUAAAAUGCAAUAUAAAUGCAUAUUUUCUCCUAACUGGUUUGGAAAACAAUUGUAUAAAGUAUGUAUGUAAUGUAGUGCAAUGUGUUUAAUAAUAACAGCCCAGGUGGGAUAUGUGGGAACAGGCUAUACCUGUCCAGACGGUAUCGCUAAGCAACAUAAACAGGGAAGGGAAGCAGAAAGAACAAAUAAGAACAUUAAUGUCAUAGUAGCCACAAAGAUACCCUUUCUCUUCUCCCAGCUUCUUUAAAAGUCAUUAAAUUAUAUGAAACAGAAAUUUAAUGUAUUGUUGGAUUGGUAGCACUUACAUAUAUAUGCAUAUGUAUUUUUAUAUAUAUAAUAGGACUACAAAAAGUAAGAAAAGAGAACAGAACAAUAUGCAAGUAACAUUUCUAUUCUGGUUAGAGUUUAGUGUGGGGAGCAACUGAGACUAGACUAAGUUACUGGAAUUAAGACUUAUUCUAUGCAUCUGCUCUCCCACAAUAUGGCGCUGGGAGAGACCAAACAACUUUCACGCAGCUGCCUUGCCAGUUUGACUGAUAAGCUGCAGGAGCUGAUCCUGCUCCUGAUUGGAGGAGAGCAGCAUGCUCGGCGUGUGGGCAGCAGAGUUGGGAUUGGUGGAAGAGGACUAUAAAGGAGGAAAGAGACAACAUGCACCAGGAACAUCUGAGGGAACAUCCGGAUAACAUCUGAGCAGCCCCCGAGAGAGCCGGCCGGUGUGCCGCUCCUCUGUGGAAGUGGGGAAAGCGGCGGGGGGUGCCGCCCCUCCACGGAGGUGGAGGGGCCGGCAGCUAACCUGGGAAGAGCCGGGCAGAAAGAACAGCGCAGGGUCUAGUGUCAUUCCUCCGCGAAUGGGGGAGUGACAGUUUAGUAUAAAUUUGAUGCUGGUCAGAUGAUACACACACACACACACGCACACAGUGUGUCCUCGGGCAGCCCAUAAAAAUGUAACUUUAAAAAGCUAAUAAUAAUGAAGAAAUUAAAAUGGUACAUUUUUAACAGCCUCUUAAUGCAAAAGAAAGCAGUAAAGGAGGGGUAGAGGAACAAAAAAAAUCAGAGACAAUGAAGACAAGAGUAAAAUGGUAGGCAUCAAUCCAUCUAUAUUAGAAAUAACAGUAAGUGUGAAUGUAUGAAACAACUCAAUCAAAGCACUGAGAUUGUCAGACUGGAUCAAAUAUCAAGAUCAGCCUCUGGUUUAAGGAUGAAAUACUUCAGAAUAAAAGGCACAAAUAGUUGGAAGUAGAAAGGAAAAGAUAACAGUAUGCCACCAGCAGCUACAAGAAGGUUGAAUACACUAUUACCAGACAAAAUGGACUUUAAAAUUAAAAGGUCAUGAUUGUUAAUGAUAAACAAAGCAAGAAAUCAGAAAGGUAUAACAAUUAUAAACAUUUAUUCACCAAUAACACAGUAUCCAUGAUACAUGAAGGAAAAACUGACGUAAAUGAAAGGACAGUUGGACAACUAAACAAUAAUAGAAAUUUCAGUACUCUACUUUAAAUAACACACAGAAGAACCAAAAAGAAGACUAAUAGGGUAUGUAAACCAUAAUUCAAUUUUACUGUGUAAGAAGAGCAGAGCCAGCAUUGUGGGGCAGCAGGUUAAGCCACUGCCGGUGAAGCCAGCAUCCCACAUGGACACCAGUUUGAGGCCUCUGCUUCCCAUCCAGCUGCCUGCUAGUGCACGUGGGAAAACAGCAGAAUAUGGCCUGAGUUUGGGGCCCUUGUCACCCACAUGGGAGACCUGGAUGGAUUGCCAGGUUCCUGGCUUCAGCUUGGCCCAGUCCUGGCUGUUGUAGCCAUUUGGGGAGUGAAUCAGUGGAUGAAAGAUUCUCUCUCUCUCUCUUUCUUUAUGUGUCUCCCCCCUCCACCCAGUCCCUGGAACUCUGCUUUUCAAAUAAAUAAAGUAAAUAUUUAAAAGAAGAAGAAGAAGAAAGCAAACAAGUGGGCUUUUUCUCCCAGUGGAUGUUGUCAUGGUUAACUUGUUGCUUGGAACUACCGCAGCAUCCUGCGCAAAUGGGGAAGCAGCUUGUGGAUGAAGCUGACGCUGAGGCUGGGGAAGCAGAGGUGGGAAGAGCCGUGGUUCUUCAGGAGAUUGUGUGCCUCUGUUUUCACCACCCCAGGGGCCUGGCUUCUCUGCAGGGUUGUGAAGUGGUAAACUGCUAUUGUUUAAGCCACCUCACAGAUUUCUUUCAUAUGCAUCUGAAACUUUGCCAACCAAUAUACUAUGAACACAUGCCUUAAAAUACGUAUUUACAAAACAAAAUUUCACAUAUAAAAUACCUUAGAGGUGAGACAGUUGUGUCAUAGAAAAAAAGCAAUGGGUACAGACAUAUGUGUGAUUUAAAUGUAACUUCUUACACAUGUGUGAGAUUUGUGAUCUUGGGCAAGUUCCUUGACCUCCUGCAGUUGUAAUUUUUGUGUUUAUGAAAUGCUCACAGGAUUAUCUAGGGACUAAUACUGUGAUAUAAGUGACAUGGAACUAAAAUGGAUCAUUAUUAAUGGCUUGAUUAGUCAAUGAGUUAUUCGGUUUAUUUGUGAGCUCAUGACAGUUUUCCUUUAUAUUUCCUGUGAGUAAUUUUUGGUAUAAAAAGAGUAAUUGAUUUUGCCUAGUUCAGGUAGGGAAAAAUCAAAGAUGAGAAGUUUGCUUUACUUAGAGAAGUGUCUAAUGCAUCAUACUGUUUUCUGUUUUGGAUCCAUAGAGGGGAUUUUUCUCAGUUUUCAAUGUUAUCUUUCCUUGUAUACAUUGUGGGUACACAUGCAUUUUAUAAUUGAUCAUUCUCUUUCUUCAGCAGAUUUAAUCCAACCUACUUUCAGCAAGAGCUCAGGACCCGGGGCAUCAACUUGAAUACAAACUUUCUAGGCUACAUUGUAUUUUCCUGGGAUGUUUUUCCUUACCUUGAUUAUUCUUAAUCUAUUUUUAUCCUAUUAUUUAUAUUUCUGUAACUUGCCUCAAAUAAAUGAGUGGGCUAAGGCCAGGUUAUAUAAAUUCACACUCAUCUGACUUUCUGUUGCAUUCUCCUUGCCUGAUAUGGACUGCAUCAACCCUACCCUGUAGUAAGAGGAAGAAGAAAUGAGCAGCCUAAAGGCAGGCUGCUUUUAGUACUCUGAUCCUGUCCCACUGUAGGCCGUCAUCAGGAACACAAUAUUUUGUUUCUCCCAUGAAGAUCCUUCUUUGCUAGCAACACUGAUAGUUUUACAGACAGAGCAAUGUAGACAUCAAAUCGAAUUAUCUUUGUGAAAUAGUCUAAGAUCAGUGGCACCAACUGCAUAGCAGUAGUUCCUAACCAGAGGCUGUUUCCCCAAAGGUGCUUUUGGCUCUAUCUGGAGGCAGUUUCCCUUUCAAAGCUGGGUGUCCUUCCGGGAGGGAAGGGAAGUUUCAGAAUGAGACUUGCAGUUUGCAACUGAGAGGGCACAGUGUAACUUGAGCAGACUGGAAGGGGACCAGGGAGUAGGCUUUGUGGAGGUCUGGGGCAAGUAUGCUUCCUGGAGGAAAUGGCUGGGGUACAUGGCCUGGGUGAGAACAUGGCCAGCCACCUGGUAAAAUAGCGAGGAGGCCAGUGUGGCUGGAGCAAAGUAAGGAAGGGGACGGCAUCUUGUGGAUAAAUACCAGAAAUGUGGCUCAGUGCCCUACACAACGCACAGCAAGCCUAUGCAGCAAACAGCUAACCUGACCGAAAUGUCAGGAGUGCCAAGGCUGAGAAACGCUGAACCAUGGGUAUUGGCAUGCAGACACUCUAACAGGGAUAGGUAAGUCAGUAAGAUAUGAACGUUAAGUCGUUCUGUGUUUAACCCAGUAUUCUCCCCAAGACCUCGUUCUUUGUGGGAAUACCUAUAUCAAAUUCCUCUUCAGGUAUAUGCGAAGGUUGAGCUAACUCAUCAUGUGGUUAUACCUUUUAGCCACUACUUACUACAGUUUAUUAGUUAUAUUUGUCUGCUUGGGCCACCUUAACAAAGCACAGUAGACUGCAUUGCUUAAACUGCAGAAUCUGAUUUCUCACAGCUCUGGAGUUUGAGAAGCCCAAGGUCAAGGACAGUGAGGGUCCUCCCACUGUGUGGUCACCCUAUGAGAGAGCACUCUCUCUCUCUUCCUCUACCCUGAAGCUGCCAUCCCCGUGAGAUUAGGACCUCACCCUUCUCAUCUGCUUCAAUCCUUGUCCCUAAUAGAGUUCUACUGGGGAGUCAGGACUACAGCAUAGAGAUCUGGGGGAGGGGAUGCAAUUUAGUCUGUGGAAUCAUUUAGUCUGUAAGAUCAUUAGCCCACGGAGGGGCUCACUACUGUGCAAAAAGCACAGUGGUUCUCAGUUGGAUCCUCUGCUUCAUUUUGUAAAAGCAAAAAACCAAAACUGUUCUUAGCACAUAUGACUUUUAUGUUCCUGAAGUUGAAAUCAUUUUCCAGUGAUCCUUCCCGGUUCUGUUCAUUAUUAAUGAAGCUUGCUGACCUGUACACAUUCCCUUGAAACCACUGGUCCCUGUCUUUGAAUGUGAUUUUUACUAAAUGAUCUUAAUUUUUCCUCCAGUUUCCCCCAUUAAAUAAGUUCCCAUUUCUAUUGUUGCAACAAUUUCAGCGGAAUUCAUCUUUCUCAUGUGUUUUUCUAAAUUGUUUCUCCCUAUUAAGAAGGAGUUCUUAGGAUCGUUUCUUGUCUAGUCUUAUUGUUUUCACCUCUUGGGUAUUGUUUUGCUAUAUGAUACUAAAAUGCUCCAUUUUUAAAGAUUUAUUUAUUUAUUUAAAAGUCAGAGUUACAUAGAGGGACAGACACAAAGAGAGAGAUCGUCCAGCUGCUGGUUGACACUCCAGAUGGCCGCAGCAAUCAGAACUGGGCCAGAGGCUUCAUCCGCGUCUCCCUUGUGGGUACAGGGACCCAAACACUUGGGCCAUCAUCUGUUGCUUUUCCUGGGUCAUUAGCAGGGGCUGGAUCAGAAGUGGAGCAGCCAGGACACAAACCAGAGUCCAUAUGGGAUGCCAGUAUUGCAAGUGUCAGCUUAAUCUGCUCCACCACUGGCCCCAAAUGCUCCAUUUUUAAGACAGAAGGUGUUAAUUGCCAAAUGAACCUUGUCAAAGAUCAACAAAGCCAGAUACUCACUCACAUAGUAAGCCCAGAUUUUAAUCCCUAUUGCAAUAGAGAAAGGCAUCCAUCAUGAACUGAAUCUAACUUUUAUUUAUUAUAAAACCAUCUUGGUUUCUUGGGCUACUAUAAUAAAAUCCCCAAGACUGAGUAAUUUAUAAGGAACAGAAAUUUACUUUGUCAUAGUCUUGGAGGCUAGAAAGUCCAAGAUCAAAGUCCCAGCUUAUGGGGUGUAUGGUGAAGGCCCAUUCCUCAGAAUGGCCCCAUCUAAUGGCUAACUGUCCAUCUAAUGGCUAUCAAGCCGAGGGUGGAAGAACAAGAGAGUACUCCCUUCAGCCGUGAUUCUUUUGAUAAUGGUGCUAAUCCUGUUCGCAAUGGUGGAGCCCUUGGACAUAAUCACUCCCAAAGACCACACAAUGUGUCUGCAAUGGGGACUCAGUUUCAACAUUCUUUUGGAGGAGACGCCAUCAUUUGAGUUUUGAUGGGAGGGAAUAGAGAGGGAAGUGAAUAGGGGUUCAGUAGACUCAGGGACAUAGAAAAUGAUGAAACAGCAGGAAGUGGAUUUGGUUCAUGUGAAAUCUCUCUGGGUGUAACUGGCAUUUGUAAAGUUUAUGCUGCUGUACUUCCACAGGGGCUCAAAGACAGAGUUACAGGUGAUGGCUGGAACGAGCAGUAAGAUAUUUUGCAACCUCAAAUUUUCUGAGGCAGGCAUUGUAAGAGGGGCUAGAGUCAUCCUAGGGAUGUGGCCUUGGCCUGUCAGCAACUGUGAGUGCAGUACUCAAGCAUCAGGCCAUGGUGGAGGCCUACUCAGUCAGGCAGCUCAAAGGGGCCUGGCUAGAAUCUGUCAAGAAGAGGACUGACUCUUAGAGAUGCGAUGAUUUGGAAGAGCCCUUAUCUUGACGUUGAGGAACAGUUUUUUUUUUUUUCUUCAUACUAUUUGUUGAACUCUUUAUGUAGUAUAGGGAUAAUCUUUUGAGUGUAGAGUUAACUGAAAAUAGAUCUUUGUAAAACAUAAGAAUGGGAAUAGGAGUGAGUGGAGGACUGGGAUUAAACAUGACAAUAGGUCAGAUCUGAUUUCAUCAUCAUUUAAAAAACCAUCUAUCAUUUUUCACUUUAUGUUUCUGUGUGGGAGCAAACUGUUGAAAUCUUUACUUAAUGUAUACUAAGCUGAUCUUCUGUAUAUUAAGAGAAUCGAAAAUGAAUCUUGAUGUGAAUGGAAGGGGAGAGGGAGUGGGAAAGGGGAGGGUUG